rnacentral:rRNA from 1 species
GCGAACAGACGAGGAGCUUGCUCCUCUGACGUUAGCGGCGGACGGGUGAGUAACACGUGGAUAACCUACCUAUAAGACUGGGAUAACUUCGGGAAACCGGAGCUAAUACCGGAUAAUAUAUUGAACCGCAUGGUUCAAUAGUGAAAGACGGUUUUGCUGUCACUUAUAGAUGGAUCCGCGCCGCAUUAGCUAGUUGGUAAGGUAACAGCUUACCAAGGCAACGAUGCGUAGCCGACCUGAGAGGGUGAUCGGCCACACUGGAACUGAGACACGGUCCAGACUCCUACGGGAGGCAGCAGUAGGGAAUCUUCCGCAAUGGGCGAAAGCCUGACGGAGCAACGCCGCGUGAGUGAUGAAGGUCUUCGGAUCGUAAAACUCUGUUAUUAGGGAAGAACAAAUGUGUAAGUAACUAUACACGUCUUGACGGUACCUAAUCAGAAAGCCACGGCUAACUACGUGCCAGCAGCCGCGGUAAUACGUAGGUGGCAAGCGUUAUCCGGAAUUAUUGGGCGUAAAGCGCGCGUAGGCGGUUUUUUAAGUCUGAUGUGAAAGCCCACGGCUCAACCGUGGAGGGUCAUUGGAAACUGGAAAACUUGAGUGCAGAAGAGGAAAGUGGAAUUCCAUGUGUAGCGGUGAAAUGCGCAGAGAUAUGGAGGAACACCAGUGGCGAAGGCGACUUUCUGGUCUGU